GCGGUAAUACGUAGGGGGCAAGCGUUAUCCGGAUUCAUUGGGCGUAAAGCGCUCGUAGGCGGUCUGUUAGGUCGGGAGUUAAAUCCGGGGGCUCAACCCCCGUUCGCUCCCGAUACCGGCAGACUUGAGUUUGGUAGGGGAAGGUGGAAUUCCUAGUGUAGCGGUGGAAUGCGCAGAUAUUAGGAAGAACACCAGUGGCGAAGGCGGCCUUCUGGGCCAUAACUGACGCUGAGGAGCGAAAGCUAGGGGAGCAAACAGGAUUAGAUACCCUGGUAGUCCUAGCCGUAAACGAUGGACACUAGGUGUGGGGGAAUAUUUCUUCCGUGCCGCAGCUAACGCAUUAAGUGUCCCGCCUGGGGAGUACGGCCGCAAGGCUAAAACUCAAAGGAAUUGACGGGGGCCCGCACAAGCAGCGGAGCAUGUGGUUUAAUUCGAAGCAACGCGAAGAACCUUACCAGGGCUUGACAU
rnacentral:rRNA from 1 species